CUUUUUUGAAUGUAUUUUCAUGUGUGUGUUUCUUUUUUUUUCUCAGUGACGAAUGGGAAGAAAUAACCGCCGAAACUCAACAUCGUGCCGAUUGAGGUUGAUCGGGGCAGGCUGAGAAGAAGAAAAAGAAUCGGAGAGGGGAGCGGCGGCAAAAGAAGCGACUGUCGUUUUUGUGUCUAUCACCUCCUGAUCUAGCAUGAUGUUUCAACCAUGCCCGCCGAUCCGUUCUAUAUGUUCU
ensembl:ncRNA T25C12.9 ncRNA